ensembl:lncRNA
UGUGGAGACUGUCAAGAGCUGUCGUUACAAUUUGUUCCAGAUUCCCCCGCCCCUUUCACCCACCAGCAGUGAGAUCAUGUCCAAUAACACUUCAGUGGGAGAGAAACAACUCCAGAGAAUAAUCAGAGAUCUACAUGUUCUUCGAGCGGCUGGUCAGAACCCACAGCUCCACCCUUCCUGACACCGACACCACCAUCCUGGGGGUCGCACCUCCAACAGUGAUGAGACCGCUUACAGAGAGGAGGUAAAGAACCGGGCUACAUGGGGCCAGGACAACAACCUCUCUCUCAGCGUCUGCAAGACUAAGAAGAUGGUUGUGGAUUUCAGGAAGCUUCAGAGGGGGGGUCAUGCCCACAUACACAUCGAUGGAGCUA